UUAAAUAGGUUAGCUAUGCCCUACAGCCGUUCCAGGUCUCGAAGUCUUUCCAGAAGUAGAACACCUGUUAACAACUUGAAGCGGGGCAGAAGUCCUUCGUGGUCUCCAGAUUUUGUCUCAAGAAAACAGAACGUAGAGACAAGGCGAUCUCCCGAUGAACAUAAUAUCCAAUAUGACAGUGCUUCUGGCGGCUACAGGCUGCAUAUAUCGGAAUUACCAGAUGAUCCAGAUGAGCGAAAAAUUGAAAAAGUUUUCGCAUCUUACGGAGACUUGAUUGAGAGGCCUUGGAUUGCUCGAACCAGUCCUUCGUUUGGCUUCAUCGUGUACAAAUAUAAAGAUCAAGCCAUUGAGGCGGUGAAAGAAGUUGACGGGACGUUUCUGGAUGGAGUAAGAAUCCGAGUGUCAAUUGCAAAGCCGAGGACAAAAGGAACACGGAGGAAUAUGACUGGGCCUCCGAGGUGCUAUGCUUGUGGCAAAAUGGGACACUUCUCACGUGACUGCCAUCCGUGGCGCGACCUGAUCCUAUUGAAAAUUUGGUUGAGUUUAAUUAUGGGGCAGUCGGAUCUGAUUUGGCGGUGCGCUGUUGAAAUUUACGUCAGAGCUAUUACGUCAAAUCUUCAUGAUAUGUAGGAAUGGAAGUUUAUUGGGAUUACAGCACUUAGCAAAAUUUUGGAAAUGCCCUUCGUUUCGCUUUAAUUGAAUCUGGAUUCGUCCGAGCGCUUACCAUGUUGCCGUUUACCGUGUUAAAAUGUUCAUCGAAAUGGUACCAUCAAUAAUUCAGAAGUCAUUACCGUCCAAAUUGUUUCAAUUGCAUUUGGGUUGAACUUUAUUGUUGGUCUGUCUCAAACGUUAUCUGGUAGAUGGAGCACCGAUUUUUGGGGUUGUUAUUGGGUAGGAUUGAUGAAGCCGAAAAUUGUCUGCUCCAUAGUUCUUACUAAAUCUCGGGACGGCGCUCUCCGCCGAGCAGCUAUCGCGAAAGAUAUAGAUCAAGAAGUCGUUCUAAUCACAGACGAUACGAUAGCCGCGAUUGAAGAAAUCUUACGAAGAUAGAGGGGAAUGGAAAAAUUAUCGCCUUUCAUUAUGUGACAAAUCUGAAAAUUGUUUGGCCACGAAAUCGGAAAAAUUUAAUCAGCACCUAUCAUAUUCCUUGAUGAUUCCUCGUGUGAUGCUUUACGUUCAAUUCACUGUCGUUUUACUCUUUCUCCUCAUUAAACGGCCUUGUCUUUUCCUUGUUCUGCUGUUUUUUUUUGGUUGAAUAUCAGACUUUAUCAAUGAGAUCGGUCUGCCAAAGCAGCCGCCUUAAUAAACAGUAUUCAUAUUUUAUCAUGUCUUGGUUGCUUAUAAUGCUGUAUUUUCAUUUUAAUUACUCUUCAAAUAUAAAUAUAAAUAGAUGAUUUAUGUUGCGUGAUUUGUUACUUCUUUCCUUUAGAGUCAAAUCGAAUAUACGAAUUCAAAAUU